rnacentral:pre_miRNA from 1 species
UUACAAUUAAAGGAUAUUUCUUGAGCCGAAACUAGCAGAAAUAUCUCUUAAUUGUUUGGU